AUAUGUUGACACAUGCAUGCUGCUUGGUUGGGCGCAGGCACUGAAAGUUGAUCCUUCUGAUGGCAAGAUGCUUGCGAUCCUUCUGAUGGCAAGAUGCUCGCUAGCAGGAGCCGCUGCUGGCUUCAGCUUGGCGAUGGACAAAAGGCUUUGGAGGAUGUUGUCCGUUCUUGCUAUAUGUGUGUUAGGAAAUGUAUUCAUGAGAUGAGUUAUUGUGUCAUGUAAACCUGGGAGAUGUAUUUUGUCAUGUUAUAUGAUGGAUAAUUUUAAUUCUACUUGGAGAUUUC
rnacentral:lncRNA from 1 species